rnacentral:rRNA from 1 species
AGAGUUUGAUCCUGGCUCAGGAUGAACGCUAGCGGCAGGCUUAACACAUGCAAGUCGAGGGGUAACGAUGGCUUCGGCCAGGCGACGACCGGCGCACGGGUGAGUAUCGCGUUUGUAACCUACCUUUAACUGGAAGAUAGCCCGAAGAAAUUCGGAUUAAUAUUCCAUAAUACUAUAGUCUGGCAUCAUUUUAUAGUUAAAGCUCCGGCGGUUAAAGAUGGGCAUGCGUAACAUUAGCUAGUUGGUGAGGUAACUGCUCACCAAGGCUACGAUGUUUAGGGGGUCUGAGAGGAUGGUCCCCCACACUGGUACUGAGACACGGACCAGACUCCUACGGGAGGCAGCAGUGAGGAAUAUUGGUCAAUGGGCGAAAGCCUGAACCAGCCAUGCCGCGUGAAGGAUGACGGCCCUAUGGGUUGUAAACUUUCUUUUAUAGCGGGAAGAAACUUCCUCUACGUGUAGGGAAACUGACGGUACCGUACGAAUAAGCAUCGGCUAACUCCGUGCCCAGCAGCCGCGGUAAUACGGAGGAUGCAAGCGUUAUCCGGAUUUAUUGGGUUUAAAGGGUGCGUAGGCGGAAAUUUAAGUCAGUGAUGAAAUCCUGCGGCUCAACCGUAGAACUGUUAUUGAUACUGAAUUUCUUGAAUACAGUUGAGGUAGGCGGAAUGAGUGAUGUAGCGGUGAAAUGCUUAGAUAUUACUCAGAACACCGAUUGCGAARGCAGCUUACUAAACUGAUAUUGACGCUGAGGCACGAAAGCGUGGGGAGCGAACAGGAUUAGAUACCCUGGUAGUCCACGCCGUAAACGAUGAUCACUCGUUGUUGGCAAUACAUCGUCAGCGACUGAGCGAAAGCAUUGAGUGAUCCACCUGGGGAGUACGAUCGCAAGAUUGAAACUCAAAGGAAUUGACGGGGGCCCGCACAAGCGGAGGAACAUGUGGUUUAAUUCGAUGAUACGCGAGGAACCUUACCUGGGCUUAAAUGUAGAGCGACGGACCGGGAAACUGGUCUUUCUUCGGACGAUCUACAAGGUGCUGCAUGGCUGUCGUCAGCUCGUGCCGUGAGGUGUCGGGUUAAGUCCCAUAACGAGCGCAACCCUCAUCAUUAGUUGCCAGCGGAUAAUGCCGGGGACUCUAAUGAAACUGCCGGUGUAAACCGAGAGGAAGGUGGGGAUGACGUCAAGUCAGCACGGCCCUUAUGUCCAGGGCUACACACGUGUUACAAUGGCCAGUACAAAGGGCAGCUACCAUGCGAAUGGAUGCUAAUCUCGAAAACUGGUCUCAGUUCGGAUCGGAGUCUGCAACUCGACUUCGUGAAGUUGGAUUCGCUAGUAAUCGCGCAUCAGCCACGGCGCGGUGAAUACGUUCCCGGGCCUUGUACACACCGCCCGUCAAGCCAUGGAAGCCGGGGGUACCUGAAGUUCGUAACCGCAAGGAGCGACCUAGGGUAAAACUGGUGACUGGGGCUAAGUCGUAACAAGGUA